CGCGGCCUAUCAGCUUGUUGGCGGGGUAACGGCCCACCAAGGCGAUGACGGGUAGCUGGUCUAAGAGGAUGGUCAGCCACAUUGGGACUGAGAUACUGCCCAGACUCCUACGGGAGGCUGCAGUCGAGAAUCUUUCGCAAUGGGCGCAAGCCUGACGGAGCGACGCCGCGUGGACGAUGAAGGCCUUCGGGUUGUAAAGUCCUGUCACGGGGCAAGAAACGGUUCGGGCUAAUACCCCAGACCUUGACGUAACCCCGAGAGGAAGCUCUGGCUAAAUUCGUGCCAGCAGCCGCGGUAAUACGAAUGGAGCAAGCGUUAUUCGGAAUCACUGGGCAUUAAGGGCGCGUAGGCGGUCCCAUAAGUCACGGGUGAAAGCCCACUGCUCAACGGUGGAAGGGCCUGUGAUACUGUGGGACUUGAGUGCGGGAGAGGAGAGCGGAAUUCCAGGUGGAGCGGUGAAAUGCGUAGAUAUCUGGAAGAACACCGGUGGCGAAGGCGGCUCUCUGGUCCGUAACUGACGCUGAGGCGCGAAAGCUAGGGGAGCAAACGGGAUUGGAUACCCUGGUAGUCCUAGCUGUAAACGAUGAGCACUAGGUCGUGGGUCCACCCGAGUGGAAUCACGGCCGACGGGAAUCCAUUAAGUGCCCCGCCUGGGGAGUACGG
rnacentral:rRNA from 1 species